AGUCCGUUAGGGUAGUGGCCAAUCCUGUUGCCUUCUGGGGGCAACGACACUGGUUCGAAUCCAGUACGGACUA
rnacentral:tRNA from 4 species